rnacentral:rRNA from 1 species
UACGUAGGGUGCGAGCGUUGUCCGGAAUUAUUGGGCGUAAAGGGCUCGUAGGCGGUUUGUCGCGUCGGAGUGAAAACACCGGGCUUAACUCGGUGCUUGCUUUCGAUACGGGCAGACUGGAGGCAUGCAGGGGAGAACGGAAUUCCUGGUGUAGCGGUGAAAUGCGCAGAUAUCAGGAGGAACACCGGUGGCGAAGGCGGUUCUCUGGGCAUGUCCUGACGCUGAGGAGCGAAAGUGUGGGGAGCGAACAGGAUUAGAUACCCUGGUAGUCCACACCGUAAACGUUGGGCGCUAGGUGUGGGGCCUAUUCCAUGGGUUCCGUGCCGUAGCUAACGCAUUAAGCGCCCCGCCUGGGGAGUACGGCCGCAAGGCUAAAACUCAAAGGAAUUGACGGGGGCCCGCACAAGCGGCGGAGCAUGCGGAUUAAUUCGAUGCAACGCGAAGAACCUUACCUGGGUUUGACAUAUGCCGGAAAGCUGUAGAGAUACGGCCCCUUUUUGUCGGUAUACAGGUGGUGCAUGGCUGUCGUCAGCUCGUGUCGUGAGAUGUUGGGUUAAGUCCCGCAACGAGCGCAACCCUCGUUCUAUGUUGCCAGCAAGCCCUUCGGGGUGUUGGGGACUCAUAGGAGACUGCCGGGGUCAACUCGGAGGAAGGUGGGGAUGACGUCAAGUCAUCAUGCCCCUUAUGUCCAGGGCUUCACGCAUGCUACAAUGGCCGGUACAAAGGGCUGCGAUGCUGUAAGGCGGAGCGAAUCCCAAAAAGCCGGUCUCAGUUCGGAUUGGGGUCUGCAACUCGACCCCAUGAAGUCGGAGUCGCUAGUAAUCGCAGAUCAGCAACGCUGCGGUGAAUACGUUCCCGGGCCUUGUACACACCGCCCGUCACGUCACGAAAGUCGGCAACACCCGAAGCCGGUGGCCUAACCCGUUUACGGGGGGGAGCCGUCGAAGGUGGGGCUGGCGAUUGGGACG